UCACGGAGGGCAGGAGAAGUGAAGAAGUGAGAACUCCAUGGCGCUUGUGGAGUCCUACUAUGGAAGUGGGACUUGGAGCCAGUGUGGAAAUUCCCGAGCAGAACUGGGAGAGGACACGCCCCAGAAAACUUCAGAAGAUGAGUCAGAGAAUCAGAUCAGUGAUGGAAGUGGAGUGCCAAUCCUGAGUCUCACCUCUACUCACGUGCUCAACAUAUCCCUAGAUCCUCAAUUCCCUGGCAAAGGUGAUUAGAUGGAACCACAGACUUCCAAGAGGGGACAGUCAAGCAUUAAAUACGAGAAUGCACAUAUAACUCUUGGUGCAAUGUUUAGCACAUACUAAGCCUGCAAUACAUGCUCAUGCCCUUGAACAAAUCCACAUGGCCAGUUUCUGUGCUCAGGGGUGAGAACAGCUGGGCUGUGAUUGGGGCAGGAGGAGCAAUAGGUGAGGAGGGGCUUCCUCUCUCCAGGCCUGCCAUCUUGACUGACAUGCUGCAGCCCUUGCCAAAAUCCAUGGGUCAGAAUGAAAGUAAAAUGUCGUUGGAAACCUUGCAAUCCACCAUUAAAACUGCGGGGUGUAGUAAAACAAUUGCUUGCCCCAAAUGAAUGACUUAUCCUUGCU